UCGGCCCCUGUGAACACCUGACAGGCGUCUCAGCAGGAAAUGCAAAUGAGAGCCUGUCGAUGCUCUGUCCCUGUACACAGGAAGGAGUGGUCUAAAACGUACAGCACCGGAUCAGUUACUGAGAACGCAAGCUGUCGCUGUGCAUACAGGAAGUGCUUUGGUUACUGAAGCUCCUGUGUCAGUAAAAGGAAAAUGUAAACUGCUGGUGGUUGUCAAAAACUAAUUACUCAAUUCAUGCACUGGUUUUUAAAGUUAAGAAAGCUCCUCUUCUUUUUGUACUGUACUUCUUCUUUUUCUUAUUAUUAAUAUUACUAUUACUAUUAUUGUUACUAUUAACAAUAAUAUUCAUAGCAGUCGUAGCACUUCUGGUAGUAGUAUUUCAUAUAGUCAAUUAUAUUCACCACUGUAGGACCGUAAGUUGCUGCUCCAAGGAGGAGUAUAUCUGAGGAGUGCAUUGAUUAUAUAAUCACCAGGGAAUCAGGAUAGGCUUCAAUGGAGAUUACAUAUCACUUGAAAAGUAUUUUAAUUUGUUUGGAUGGCAGUUAAUUCUGCUCAUUCUGCACUCAAUUUUAUUGACUUUUGUUUAAGAAUAUUUU